GCCAUGUACAGUGGCUCACAUAUGUUGUCCCAGCUACUUGGGAGGCUGAGGCAGGAGGAUCACUUGAGUCCAGGCGUUCUGGGCUGUAGUGCAGCCUGCCAAGGGAGUCUGCACUUAAGUUCAACAUCAAAAGGGUGACCUCCUGGGAUCAAGGGACCCCAAGUUUGCCUAAGGAGGGGUGAACCAGCCUAUGUUUGAAAUGGAAUAGAUCAAAACUCCUGUGUUAAGCAGUAGUGGAAUUGAGCCUGUGAAUAGCCUCUGCACUCCAUCCUGGGCAACAUGGUGAGACACCAUCUUU
rnacentral:SRP_RNA from 1 species